rnacentral:rRNA from 1 species
AUUGAACGCUGGCGGCAGGCUUAACACAUGCAAGUCGAGCGGAGUGAUGGUGCUUGCACUAUCACUUAGCGGCGGACGGGUGAGUAAUGCUUAGGAAUCUGCCUAUUAGUGGGGGACAACAUCUCGAAAGGGAUGCUAAUACCGCAUACGUCCUACGGGAGAAAGCAGGGGAUCACUUGUGACCUUGCGCUAAUAGAUGAGCCUAAGUCGGAUUAGCUAGUUGGUGGGGUAAAGGCCUACCAAGGCGACGAUCUGUAGCGGGUCUGAGAGGAGGAUCCGCCACACUGGGACGGAGACACGGCCCAGACUCCUACGGGAGGCAGCAGUGUGGAAUAUUGGACAAUGGGGGGGAACCCUGAUCCAGCCAUGCCGCGUGUGUGAAGAAGGCCUUAUGGUUGUAAAGCACUUUAAGCGAGGAGGAGGCUCUUUUGGUUAAUACCCAAGAUGAGUGGACGUUACUCGCAGAAUAAGCACCGGCUAACUCUGUGCCAGCCGCCGCGGUAA